GGAAGAUCGUCAUCUCCGGUGAGCGGCUGGACUCAAAUCAGUUGGGGCCGCCAGCGGUCCCGGGCAGGUUCGACUCUAGAUCUUCCGCCA
rnacentral:tRNA from 1 species